rnacentral:rRNA from 1 species
GACGAACGCUGGCGGCGUGCCUAAUACAUGCAAGUCGAACGCAGUGGGGACGGGUGAGUAACACGUGGGUAACCUCCCCUCAGAGGGGAUAACACUUGGAAACAGGUGCUAAACCGAUACUGAUGGAUGGACCCGCGGUGCAUUAGCUAGUUGGUGGGGUAACGGCUCACCAGGGCCACGAUGCAUAGCCGACCUGAGAGUGUGAGCGGCCAAACUGGGACGGAGAAACUGCCCAGACUCCUACGGGAGGCAGCAGUAGGGAAUCUUGGGCAAUGGACGAAAGUCUGACCGAGCAACGCCGCGUGAGUGAAGAAGGUUUUCGGAUCGUAAAACUCUGUUGGUAGAGAAGCGGUAUCUAACCAGAAAGCCACGGCUAACUACGUGCCAGCCGCCGCGGUAAUUC